GACAAUAUGGCCGAGCGGUUAAGGCGCUAGAAUCAGGUGGUCUCAGAUUACAUAAUCUAGUCCGAAAGGGCGUGGGUUCGAAUCCCACUGUUGUCA
rnacentral:tRNA from 1 species